rfam:Astyanax mexicanus Tnplaced_Scaffold3495, whole genome shotgun sequence.
GUCACUAGUGAUGGUACUCUCAUUUAUUGAGAUAGGGUUCAACUCCCUGUGGUGAC